rnacentral:rRNA from 1 species
UGGGGAAUAUUGCACAAUGGGCGCAAGCCUGAUGCAGCCAUGCCGCGUGUGUGAAGAAGGCCUUCGGGUUGUAAAGCACUUUCAGCGGGGAGGAAGGCGUUAAGGUUAAUAACCUUGGCGAUUGACGUUACCCGCAGAAGAAGCACCGGCUAACUCCGUGCCAGCAGCCGCGGUAAUACGGAGGGUGCAAGCGUUAAUCGGAAUUACUGGGCGUAAAGCGCACGCAGGCGGUCUGUCAAGUCGGAUGUGAAAUCCCCGGGCUCAACCUGGGAACUGCAUUCGAAACUGGCAGGCUAGAGUCUUGUAGAGGGGGGUAGAAUUCCAGGUGUAGCGGUGAAAUGCGUAGAGAUCUGGAGGAAUACCGGUGGCGAAGGCGGCCCCCUGGACAAAGACUGACGCUCAGGUGCGAAAGCGUGUGGAGCAAACAGG